AUUGAACGCUGGCGGCAGGCCUAACACAUGCAAGUCGAGCGAGUGGCGGACGGGUGAGUAAUGUCUGGGGAACUGCCUGAUGGAGGGGGAUAACUACUGGAAACGGUAGCUAAUACCGCAUACCAUCAGAUGCACCCAAAUGGGAUUAGCUUGUAGGUGGGGUAACGGCUAACCUAGGCGACGAUCCCUAGCUGGUCUGAGAGGAUGACCAGCCACACUGUAACUGAGACACGGUCCAGACUCCUACGGGAGGCAGCAGUGGGGAAUAUUGCACAAUGGGCGCAAGCCUGAUGUAGCCAUGCCGCGUGUAUGAAGAAGGCCUUCGGGUUGUAAAGUACUUUCAGCGGGGAGGCGUUACCAGCAGAAGAAGCACCGGCUAACUCCGUGCCAGCAGCCGCGGUAAUAC
rnacentral:rRNA from 1 species